CCUACGGGAGGAGGCANCANCUAAGNAUAUUCCGCNAUGGACGAAANUNUGACGGANCGACNCCGCGUGGAUGAGGAAGGCCGUGAGGUUGUAAAAUCCUUUUACUGGGGAAGAAUAAGUCCGGGAGGGAAUGCCCGGGUGAUGACGUUAACCGGUGAAUAAGCCCCGGCUAACUACGUGCCAGCAGCCGCGGUAAU
rnacentral:rRNA from 1 species